CCUUGUGAACACUUUAUCGGCUACACAACGAAGACUCACCUUAUUGCCCAUCAGCCCCUUUUUAACUGUACUGUAAAUGGUUAUUAUGAGGUAAGGCAUCGAGGAGCAGAAUGGCUUUUCCCAAUCUCGAUUCUGACAAACAGACACGGUUACAUUGUAGUCUCAACACUUGACGGCACAGCUACUUUCAGCGACGCGGCGUAGGAAAUGGACAGCACUUACCGCUGAGAAAUACCUGCAGAGGAACCACUAUCAAGGUGAUGAGGACGAGCGCCAGAGCGACCCCCAGGAGCGCCCU